CUGGCACAUGGCAUGUGUAGUUUUGCAGGUGGCUCUCCCUUUGGUAGUAUAUGUUUAGCCAGUUAAAGUGCUUGUGUGUUUGCUAUUCUGAAUUCCAUGUCACUUUCCUUUAUGUUGAUCACAUACUCACUGAGGAUUCAGCUAACGAUUUCUCUUCAUAUUAAGUCUACUAAUAAACAACAGUACUUACAUUGUUCAGAUGCAGGCUGUUUACAGCAAUGCACCACCAUUCCCAUCUCAGGUUGCACUGGACGUAAUUACCCCACCAAGCUAUCUCAAAAGCAUAUUUCACAAGCUAUAACAUCCAAUUCUGGUACUGCUGAUCCCUCCAAAAUACAGCUUAGGAGUUCAUCUCUUGUCACUCCAUAUUAUCACGGUCUUGUAUCAGCUACUUCGACAAGUCUAUGACCUCCUAAAACUGUGCCCUGAAACGAGGUCCAUUCCAUCUGUCACUUUGCCCACCACACCUAAAUAGCUUUUCAUCAACCUCCCGAUCUCUGCAAUGUCCUUGUCAGAUCCUAUGCUCCUUCUGCACCCACUUGCCUACCCUGUGGCUCCUACCCCUGUGACAGUCUCACUGUAAGACUUGCCCUAUGCAACCUACUACCAUCUGCUACACAAGUCCUUACACUGGCAAAACAUAUACUACCAAAGGAAGAACCACCUGUGAAACAACACAUGCUGUAUGUCAGCUGUUGUGUACCCACUGUUCAGCCUUCUACAUUGGUUGACUACCACAAAGCUAUCAGUUAGGACAGAUGGGCAUAGGCAGAGGGCACAUACUGGAAACAUACAAUAUCCUGCUGCAGAGCAUUUUCUACAACAUGGCAGUCAUGACUUUGGAGCUUGUUUCAACACAUAUGCCAUCUAGAUUCUUCCUCUGGAAGCAAUUUUCUCAGAACUCCACAGGUGGGAACUGGAGUUACAACAUGUCCUUGGUUCUUGUCACCCACCUGGCCUUAAAUUGCAUUAAUUAUUUUCUUUAAUUAUCUUGGCCCCAGCAUUUCUUCUCCAUAACUAUUCCUUUCUUCACUCACUUUCAGUUUGCUGUAUCUUUUUAUUUUCUGUCCUGUCUUUUCCCCCCAACUCUACCAUAUAGAAUGCUCUCAGCUUUCUGCUCUUAUUAAAUUUAGCACAAUUCUUUGCCACCAAUCUCUGUCUUGCAUAUUGCCCUAUCUUCCACCUUCAAGCACUCAAGUUUUCAAAUCUCAUCCAGUGCAGUCUGUAACAAUCAGUCUUCCCUUUUAUUCCCAUCUGGUAAGUCUGCCCUGACCUGGGGUUCUGGCCAACUUUUCUGGACUCUCCCCGUUUCCUAAAUUUCACCAGUCCUUUUCCUUCCCCGCUCUUCCUUCCCCUUCCACCUUUCUGCCAGAAGAAAGAGCCACUGGCUCUGGAAGCUUGCUAUGUGUUUUUUCCUGCCAGCACUUGAUUUGCAGACUUUUUAUCAAUCCAAUUACAUCAUCAUAUUUUUAAAAAUUAUUUUCAUUGAAAUAAUAAUGCUGAUUUUUUGGAAUAUAUAUCCUUUCUUCUGUAAGUAAUUAGAACAAUAAGGUAGAAACAUAUACUAAAACAAGGGAAUGAAUGAAAAAUUACUGUGAAUUGCUAAGAAAUCACUUGAGGUAAAUUCAUUGAUGAACAUUGUAACUUUGGUAAAUCCACAAACUCAGUUUGUUUCAAUAGGAGGGGAGACUUACAAAACUCCAGGAGAAGAAUCUCUAACUUAUCAUCACUUCUUUCUUUCAUGUUACUAUUGACUGUGUCACAGUCCAACCUUUAAAGUGAGUAAAACAAAUUCCAGCAUAUUUUUUCUUGGAAAUACAAAAAUGACAAAAAUUCAACCUCACAGUGAAAAUACAACUCUUUUAGCUAAAUGGCAGACAUAGCUGAGAUACAUAACUCAAAGAAGAUGUAAAUAGAGCUAGGACUGUUGUUAGGUUUGUGUUUUGAACCUAAAUAUGAAAGCAAUUUAACACAAAUGAUAAUAGCAGAUGUUUGUUUUUGUAAUGUAGUUUCAUUACAGUGGUUGUGGUCCAGAAAGCGUAUGGCUGUUACUGUUUGCUGCUACUAUUCUGAGAAAUUGUUGUGUUCAGUUAUUCUAGACAGAAACAGACUACUCAGUUGUUUAAGCAUAGUGUUAAAUCACCAUAUACUUGCAGACAGAAUCUAUAAAUUUAUGUAUAACCACAUAUGUCUUGUAAAUCUAAGCAUUUUAGUAUGAGAAUUUCACCUGAAAUCAUACAUGUCCAUAUGCAACAGUUCAUGUAUAGUUUGGUUUGUGUUGUCAGCAUGAAAUUAAAGAUUGAAACCGCUGUUAUGUAUUUUGGUAACCAGUACCUUGACUAUUUUAAUUUUGAAAUGCUGCAAUGAAAUAGUUGAUGUAAAAUAUCUUCCAGAGUGAGGUGGUAUAGUGAUUAAGGCAUUAUGAUCACACGUAGGAGGUGCAGUGUUCAGAUCCUCUUCUGGCCACCCUGAGUCAUAUUUUCUGUACUUUUCCCUAAACUGCUUCAAGCAGAUAGCAGGAUAAUUGCUUAAUUGGUUUGAAAAGGAAAUGACCAAGAGCUUUCCCCAUAAUUGCCCAUUUAGAGUUAAGUUCCAUUUCUUAUGACAUUGUCAUCAUCUGAAUUUUUAAAUCUAAUCUUACUGCUUUCCCCUGUAAGAUUUAAAUAUUUCCAGUGGAAAGUCAAUAAGUACACAUUGCACAUAAAAUGAUGGAUCAGUCCAGCAUCCAGUUAAGUAAUACAAAAACAGCAAGCCAGAUCAAUUUGUAUGUCAGACCUUGUAUAAUAUUGUGUCUACUAUAGACAAACUGUAUAUGCAUAUAAUUCUAUUUCUAAAUGGCAGAUAUUUCAGGGAUUUAAACAAGCUAAACAAUACAUGUUGUAAAACACCACUUCCAUUUUCCAUUUUUUGGCUUGCACAGUGUUUUUCGGACAUGUCAUGCAGGAAAUCUGCAUACCUCACACAAAACCAAUAAGAGUGUGAAUAGUGUUCUGUAACAAUCAGUUGAAUCAUAAUGAGUUGAUACAGGAAAUGGGAUGAUUUUCAAAGACGUGAUAGUCUGAAGAAAGUCCAUACACUGCUGAGUUUGCAAAAUAGGCAGUACAGUACAAAAAGACACCAUUAAUGAACUCACACAGAAGUAGAGAACUGUCUCAAUUACUUGCUGUGGUAAAAUCAUUAUCUUCUGAAACUAUAUGACAGACUGUAGGCACUUUCUCUUCAGGUUUGUUGUACUACUGAGAGAUGGGUAUCCUGCUAAUGGCUGCACUCUUUACCUAUUGGGAGUGCUUCGCAGUUGGGUUGUCUGAAGCUUGUUUGGUGGAGGCUGCCCAAGGAGGAGACACCUGAAGAGUUGUCUGCUGGG